rnacentral:piRNA from 1 species
UGGAAAGUCAGUCAUGAUAUACAGGGUCA